GCAGCUUCCAUGCAAGUCGAACGGUAACGGGCCUUCGGGUGCCGACGAGUGGCGAACGGGUGAGUAAUGCAUCGGAACGUACCUUUCAGUGGGGGAUAACGUAGCGAAAGUUACGCUAAUACCGCAUAUUCUGUGAGCAGGAAAGCAGGGGGUCGCAAGACCUUGCGCUGAUUGAGCGGCCGAUGUCAGAUUAGCUAGUUGGUGAGGUAAAGGCUCACCAAGGCGACGAUCUGUAGCGGGUCUGAGAGGAUGAUCCGCCACACUGGAACUGAGACACGGUCCAGACUCCUACGGGAGGCAGCAGUGGGGAAUUUUGGACAAUGGGGGCAACCCUGAUCCAGCCAUGCCGCGUGAGUGAAGAAGGCCUUCGGGUUGUAAAGCUCUUUCGGCCGAUAAGAAAUCGUAUGGGCUAAUACCCUGUGCGGAUGACGGUACCGGCAUAAGAAGCACCGGCUAACUACGUGCCAGCAGCCGCGGUAAUACGUAGGGUGCGAGCGUUAAUCGGAAUUACUGGGCGUAAAGCGUGCGCAGGCGGUUUUGUAAGACAGGCGUGAAAUCCCCGGGCUCAACCCGGGAACUGCGCUUGUGACUGCAAGGCUAGAGUACGGCAGAGGGGGGUGGAAUUCCACGUGUAGCAGUGAAAUGCGUAGAGAUGUGGAGGAACACCAAUGGCGAAGGCAGCCCCCUGGGUCGAUACUGACGCUCAUGCACGAAAGCGUGGGUAGCAAACAGGAUUAGAUACCCUGGUAGUCCACGCCCUAAACGAUGUCAACUAGGUGUUGGGUGGGUAAAACCAUUUAGUACCGUAGCUAACGCGUGAAGUUGACCGCCUGGGGAGUACGGCCGCAAGGUAAAACUCAAAGGAAUUGACGGGGACCCGCACAAGCGGUGGAUGAUGUGGAU
rnacentral:rRNA from 1 species